AAAAAGAAAGUUAAUCGGAUCUGGAGUGACAUGAGGAGAAAAGAAAGUCACAUGAGUUUGGAAACAACAUGAAGAUAAAAGACUCAAAGUGCACACACAGAGAGCAAAACUGGCUGACAGGUGGAGCAUCAUGGAAAACACAGAACUCUGAAGAAACCGUAGGAGGAAAGGACUUGAAAAGGACACCCUCCUCUGCUCAGCCUGGGAAGAGCAAAGUA